GCGGAGGAAAAGAAACCAACAGGGAUUGCCCUAGUAACGGCGAGUGAAGCGGCAACAGCUCAAAUUUGAAAUCUGGCGUCUUUGGCGUCCGAGUUGUAAUUUGCAGAGGGCGCUUUGGCAUUGGCAGCGGUCCAAGUUCCUUGGAACAGGACGUCACAGAGGGUGAGAAUCCCGUACGUGGUCGCUAGCCUUUACCGUGUAAAGCCCCUUCGACGAGUCGAGUUGUUUGGGAAUGCAGCUCUAAAUGGGAGGUAAAUUUCUUCUAAAGCUAAAUACUGGCCAGAGACCGAUAGCGCACAAGUAGAGUGAUCGAAAGAUGAAAAGCACUUUGGAAAGAGAGUUAAAAAGCACGUGAAAUUGUUGAAAGGGAAGCGCUUGCAGCCAGACUUGCCUGUAGUUGCUCAUCCGGGUUUUUACCCGGUGCACUCUUCUAUAGGCAGGCCAGCAUCAGUUUGGGCGGUUGGAUAAAGGUCUCUGUCAUGUACCUCUCUUCGGGGAGAACUUAUAGGGGAGACGACAUGCAACCAGCCUGGACUGAGGUCCGCGCAUCUGCUAGGAUGCUGGCGUAAUGGCUGUAAGCGGCCCGUCUUGAAACACGGACCAAGGAGUCUAACAUCUAUGCGAGUGUUUGGGUGUCAAGCCCGAGCGCGUAAUGAAAGUGAACGGAGGUGGGAACCUUUCGGGGUGCACCAUCGACCGAUCCUGAUGUCUUCGGAUGGAUUUGAGUAAGAGCAUAGCUGUUGGGACCCGAAAGAUGGUGAACUAUGCUUGAAUAGGGUGAAGCCAGAGGAAACUCUGGUGGAGGCUCGCAGCGGUUCUGACGUGCAAAUCGAUCGUCAAA
rnacentral:sRNA from 1 species